rnacentral:lncRNA from 1 species
UUGAAUCCUCAUCGAAACGCUUUUCGUUUCGUCUCAAUCGGAGUUUCCGUCGAGAAUUUACGACGAAAACAAGUUGGACUCGUCUCGGCUCCCUUUCACUCGCUAUAGCGACCGAGAUGACAUCCUCACUCGCUAUAGCGACCCGUCAGGCCUCAAAGGGGUCCUCCUUUACGUUCUUCUUUGAAUCCUCAUCGAAACGCUUUUCGUUUCGUCUC